rnacentral:rRNA from 1 species
GGAUGAUGUGGUUUAAUUCGAUGCAACGCGAAAACCUUACCUACCCUUGACAUGUCCGGAAUCCCGAAGAGAUUUGGGAGUGCUCGCAAGAGAGCCGGAACACAGGUGCUGCAUGGCUGUCGUCAGCUCGUGUCGUGAGAUGUUGGGUUAAGUCCCGCAACGAGCGCAACCCUUGUCAUUAGUUGCCAUCAUUUGGUUGGGCACUCUAAUGAGACUGCCGGUGACAAACCGGAAGGAAGGGUGGGGAUGACGUCAAGUCCUCAUGGCCCUUAUGGGUAGGGCUUCACACGUCAUACAAUGGUCGGUACAGAGGGUUGCCAACCCGCGAGGGGGAGCUAAUCCCACAAAGCCGAUCGUAGUCCGGAUCGCAGUCUGCAACUCGACUGCGUGAAGUCGGAAUCGCUAGUAAUCGUGGAUCAGCAUGUCACGGUGAAUACGUUCCCGGGUCUU